rnacentral:misc_RNA from 1 species
GGUUUGAUCCUGGCUCAGAUUGAACGCUGGCGGGAUGCUUUACACAUGCAAGUCGAACUUGGCUUGGCACGGACUUCGGUCUGGUGGCGAGUGGCGAACGGGUGAGUAAUGUAUCCGGAACGUGCCUAGUAGCAGGGGGAUAACUGCGCAGCGUAGUACCACAUACGCCCUUCCCGAAGCGCCUCGCGAGACCUUCCGGGCAUCACUAUUAAACGGCCGAUAUCGGAUUAGCUGGUUAACGGUGGGUAACGGCUCACCAGGCGACGAUCCGUAGCUGGUUUGAAGGACGACCCAGCCACACUGGGACUGAGACACGGCCCGGAGCUCUACGGGGAGGCAGCAGUGGGGGAAUUUUGGACAAUGGAAACCUGAUCCAUGCAUCCCGCGUGUGCGAUGAAAGGCCUUCCGGGUUGUAAAGCACUUUUGGCAGGAAAGAAACGGCACGGGAUAAUACAGCUGACGAACCUGCCAAGAAGUGUUUGGCUUCGAGGCCCCGCUCAUCGCACCUCUGUGGCGCUGGUUUCCCCCAUUGUGUCCCCGUUCCCCGCCUCCGUCUGGGUAGUGUCUCAGUCCCAGUGUGGCUGUCGUCCUCUCAAGCCAGCUACGUCGCCUUAUUACCCCAUAGUAAUAAUCCGAUAUCGGCUAUCUCCAAUAGUGCAAGGUCUUGCGAUCCCUCAAGCCGUAAAGAUGUGCGGUAUUAACUACGCGCUUUCGGCGUAGUUAUCCCCGCUGCAGGCACGUUCCGACCCGUUCGCCACUCACCUCUCGGUUUCGAAAUUCGACUGCAUAUUAGGCAUCCGCUAGCAUU